rnacentral:rRNA from 1 species
GGAGGCAGCAGCAAGGAUUCUUCGGCACUGGGGCAAGCCUGACGAGCAACACCGCGUGGAGACGACGCCUUCGGGUUGUAAACUCCUUUCGGCCGGGGACGAAACGGACGGUACCCGCAGAAGCAGCCCCGGCUAACUAUGUGCCAGCAGCCGCGGUAUACAGAGGGGGCAAGCGUUGUCCGGAUUUACUGGGCGUACAGCGCGCGCAGGCGGAUGGUGACGUGCCGUGUGACAAGCCCCAGCUCAACUGGGGAGGGCCAUGGUAGACGCACCGUCUGGAGGCAGGGAGAGGGAUGUGGAAUACCCGGUGGAGCGGUGAAAUGCGUAGAGAUCGGGUGGAACACCAGCGGCGAAGGCGGCAUCCUGGUCCUGACCUGACGCUGAGGCGCGAGAGCGUGGGGGGCGAACCGGAUUAGAUACCCGGGUAGUCCACGCUGUAAACGAUGUGGACCCGGCGCUGGGGGGUGAUUGUGCCCUUCGGUGCCCCAGCUUACGCGAUGAGUCCACCGCCUGGGGACUACGGCCGCAAGGCUAAAACUCAAAGGAAUUGACGGGGGCCCGCACAAGCAGCGGAGCGUGUGGUUUAAUUCGACGCAACGCGCAGAACCUUACCCAGGCUUGACAUGCACCUGCAACCAGCGGAAACGCUGGUGCCUUCGAGGGUGGUGCACCGGUGCUGCAUGGCUGUCGUCAGCUCGUGUCGUGAGAUGUUGGGUUAAGUCCCGCAACGAGCGCAACCCUUGCCCCGUGUUACUUGUGUCACGGGGGACUGCCGUGGUGUUACUACGGAGGAAGGCGGGGAUGACGUCAAGUCCGCAUGGCCCCGACGCCUGGGGCGACACACACGCUACAAUGGCCGGCGGAAAGCGUUGCUACCGGGCAACCGGAUGCUAAUCGCGAAGGUCGGUCUCAGUGCAGAUUGGGGGCUGCAACUCGCCCCCAUGAAGGCGGAGUUGCUAGUAACCGCGUGUCAGCAGAGCGCGGUGAAUACGUUCCCGGG